GACGAACGCUGGCGGCGUGCUUAACACAUGCAAGUCGAACGGAAAGGCCCUGCUUGCCGGGUACUCGAGUGGCGAACGGGUGAGUAACACGUGGGUGAUCUGCCCUGCACUUCGGGAUAAGCCUGGGAAACUGGGUCUAAUACCGGAUAGGAGCCAUUUUUAGUGUGAUGGUUGGAAAGUUUUUUCGGUGUAGGAUGAGCUCGCGGCCUAUCAGCUUGUUGGUGUGGUAAUGGCCUACCAAGGCGGCGACGGGUAGCCGGCCUGAGAGGGUGGACGGCCACAUUGGGACUGAGAUACGGCCCAGACUCCUACGGGAGGCAGCAGUGGGGAAUAUUGCACAAUGGGCGCAAGCCUGAUGCAGCGACGCCGCGUGGGGGAUGACGGCCUUCGGGUUGUAAACUCCUUUCGCUAGGGACGAAGCUUUUUGUGACGGUACCUAGAUAAGAAGCACCGGCUAACUACGUG
rnacentral:rRNA from 1 species